AGGUCAUUAUGAGGGCAGUUCCUCAACAAGCCUUUGUAUCUUUCCCAUGCCUCAUUGAGUGACUCACCUCCUUGUUGUUCGAAGUUUGUAAUGGCUUUCUUCAACUU